GAGGAUAUAGCUCAGGGGUAGAGCGCGUGCUUAGCGUGCACAAGGUCCUAGGUUCAAUCCCCAGUCCCUCG
rnacentral:tRNA from 1 species